UCCCAUUUUGUUACGCAAGUCGGUCUUGACAAUUUUCAUCGCAGAGAAUACUCUUUCAACAGUAGCUGUUGCAACUGGUAAAACCAAAGUCAACUCGAUCAAUCAAUAUACCAAUGUAAAUGUCAUAUGUCUUCUCGUUUCAAUCAACUUCUUAGCAAGACUUCCCAAACCCAAAUUUUCAAUCCCAAAAAAUUGACUAUCGCAUCGCAUAUCAUUAAUGUAAUUUUCAAGUUGAUCCCCAAGUAUCAUGCGAUCAGUCAAUGAGAAGUCUUC
rnacentral:lncRNA from 1 species